GGGAGGAUUCCCGAGCGGCCAAAGGGGGCAGACUGUAAAUCUGUUGUCUUACGACUACGAUGGUUCAAAUCCAUCUCCUCCCACCA
rnacentral:tRNA from 1 species